rnacentral:rRNA from 1 species
ACGAACGCUGGCGGCGUGCUUAACACAUGCAAGUCGCACGGAAAGGCCCUGCUUUUGUGGGGUGCUCGAGUGGCGAACGGGUGAGUAACACGUGAGUAACCUGCCCUUGACUUUGGGAUAACUUCAGGAAACUGGGGCUAAUACCGGAUAGGAGCUCCUGCUGCAUGGUGGGGGUUGGAAAGUUUCGGCGGUUGGGGAUGGACUCGCGGCUUAUCAGCUUGUUGGUGGGGUAGUGGCUUACCAAGGCUUUGACGGGUAGCCGGCCUGAGAGGGUGACCGGCCACAUUGGGACUGAGAUGCGGCCCAGACUCCUACGGGAGGCAGCAGUGGGGAAUAUUGCACAAUGGGCGGAAGCCUGAUGCAGCAACGCCGCGUGCGGGAUGACGGCCUUCGGGUUGUAAACCGCUUUCGCCUGUGACGAAGCGUGAGUGACGGUAAUGGGGAAAGAAACACCUGCUAACUACGU